rnacentral:lncRNA from 1 species
UUUGACCAAUGGUUCAUUAAUGCUUAUACACCAAGAGGUCUGAGUUUCAAUUCCCGGAGAUGACGUAAUUAUGCGAAUUAAAGGAGAAAAGGCUUACAAGAGAUCUGUAGCAUGGCGCAAGGAGUACCGUCAAGCAAGGAUCCCAUAGGGUGGCUCAGGUGAUGCAGUCAGGCGUGAAUCUUCAUACGGCAUGUAGAAUUGUCGGCUGUAGAAUCGUCUGUAAUAUUUCUCAUAGUUGUAAUAAAAAAACCAUUAUUGGGCCUCAGGUACAAAUAACAAAGCAUAUUCUCC